rnacentral:rRNA from 1 species
GAGGGCAUCCAGAGGCACUUUCGCGCUUGGGCUAGAGUAGUACUUGGGUGGGUGAACUCCUGGGAAGUCCUAGUGGUGCACCCU